AGGGGUGUAGCUCAGCCCGGCAGAGCAACGGUCUCCAAAACCGUGUGUCGCAGGUUCAAAUCCUGUCACCCCUG
rnacentral:tRNA from 1 species